UACGAAGGGGGCUAGCGUUGCUCGGAAUCACUGGGCGUAAAGGGUGCGUAGGCGGGUUUUUAAGUCAGAGGUGAAAUCCUGGAGCUCAACUCCAGAACUGCCUUUGAUACUGAAAGUCUUGAGUAUGGGAGAGGUGAGUGGAACUGCGAGUGUAGAGGUGAAAUUCGUAGAUAUUCGCAAGAACACCAGUGGCGAAGGCGGCUCACUGGCCCAUUACUGACGCUGAGGCACGAAAGCGUGGGGAGCAACAGGAGUAG
rnacentral:rRNA from 1 species